rnacentral:misc_RNA from 1 species
GAUGAAGAACGCAGCGAAAUGCGAUAAGUAGUGUGAAUUGCAGAAUUCAGUGAAUCAUCGAAUCUUUGAACGCACAUUGCGCCCCUUGGUAUCCCGAGGGGCAUGCCUGUUCGAGCGUCAUUUCACCACUCAAGCCUGGCUUGGUGUUGGGCGACGUCCUCUUUGGGGACGCGCCUCGAAACGCUCGGCGGCGUGGCACCGGCUUUAAGCGUAGCAGAAUCUUUCGCUUUGGAAGUCGGGGCCCCGUCUGCCGGAAGACCUGCUCGCAAGGUUGACCUCGGAUCAGGCAGGGAUACCCGCUGUACUUAAGCAUAUCAAUAAGCGGAGGA